UACGGGGGGGGCAAGCGUUGUUCGGAAUUACUGGGCGUAAAGGGCUCGUAGGUGGCCAACUAAGUCAGACGUGAAAUCCCCAGGCUCAACUUGGGAACUGCGUCCGAUACUGGUGGGCUUGAAUCCGGGAGAGGGAUGUGGAAUUCCAGGUGUAGCGGUGAAAUGCGUAGAUAUCUGGAGGAACACCGGUGGCGAAGGCGGCAUCCUGGACCGGUAUUGACGCUGAGGCGCGAAAGCUAGGGGAGCAAACGGG
rnacentral:rRNA from 1 species